GAUGAACGCUGGCGGCGUGCCUAAUACAUGCAAGUCGAGCGAACAGACGAGGAGCUUGCUCCUCUGACGUUAGCGGCGGACGGGUGAGUAACACGUGGAUAACCUACCUAUAAGACUGGGAUAACUUCGGGAAACCGGAGCUAAUACCGGAUAAUAUAUUGAACCGCAUGGUUCAAUAGUGAAAGACGGUUUUGCUGUCACUUAUAGAUGGAUCCGCGCCGCAUUAGCUAGUUGGUAAGGUAACGGCUUACCAAGGCAACGAUGCGUAGCCGACCUGAGAGGGUGAUCGGCCACACUGGAACUGAGACACGGACCAGACUCCUACGGGAGGCAGCAGUAGGGAAUCUUCCGCAAUGGGCGAAAGCAUGACGGAGCAACGCCGCGUGAGUGAUGAAGGUCUUCGGAUCGUAAAACUCUGUUAUUAGGGAAGAAAAAAUGUGUAAGUAACUAUGCACGUCUUGACGGUACCUAAUCAGAAAGCCACGGCUAACUACGUG
rnacentral:rRNA from 1 species